rnacentral:rRNA from 1 species
UACGGAGGGUGCGAGCGUUGUCCGGAAUCACUGGGUUUAAAGGGUGCGUAGGUGGUCCGUUAAGUCUGUUGUGAAAGCCCUUGGCUCAACCAAGGAAUUGCUUCGGAUACUGGCGGACUUGAGGCUAGUAGAGGUCACUGGAACUGACGGUGGAGCGGUGAAAUGCGUAGAUAUCGUCAGGAACGCCGGUGGUGAAGACGGGUGACUGGGCUAGUUCUGACACUGAGGCACGAAAGCGUGGGGAGCGAACGGG